UACGUAGGGUGCAAGCGUUGUCCGGAAUUAUUGGGCGUAAAGAGCUUGUAGGCGGUUUGUCGCGUCUGCUGUGAAAUUCCAGGGCUUAACCCUGGGCUUGCAGUGGGUACGGGCAGACUAGAGUGUGGUAGGGGAGACUGGAAUUCCUGGUGUAGCGGUGAAAUGCGCAGAUAUCAGGAGGAACACCGGUGGCGAAGGCGGGUCUCUGGGCCGUAACUGACGCUGAGGAGCGAAAGCGUGGGGAGCGAACAGG
rnacentral:rRNA from 1 species